CAUCAGACGAUUCAGGAGUCCAAGGCAUUUUUUAUUCGCACCCAUAGGAGGUGGGAUGUUGUCGAAGAUGAUGUUCAACUCCUUGGACAAACAACAGGACUUGCUGCGGUACCACGUACAAUUUUGAAGAUCCGGUUGAGAACUCCUCGCUUUCCUCUGGAACGUCUUCAUCAUUUUCUUCAACGCUGCUGUCACUUAGAUAAUCUUCCUCAUCACUACUUUCCACCCUUUCUUCUGUUUUCCCUUCUGCAAUAAAGAGAGAGCAACCCAAUCAGAUGCUGGGGAACGACAUCGUCACGGUUAUGGUAAGGUGUGGAGGGGCUUGUUCUGUACUAGCAGUCAUACGAUACUUGCUUAACAUUUCAUCUAAUUCUUCUGGACUUAUAUUAAGCCAACUAUCAUCUGAGAAAGAACAGUGCUUCCCGGAUCAUCUGUUACCACAUCAUCAGGAUGAAAUGACUCAAGAAAAUGCUGCUCAGCAUCAGAUAGCAGUUUCAUGUACAACUUUGAUCCCUCUAUUUCGUCCUAAAAUUAUAUUUU